rnacentral:lncRNA from 1 species
AGCCUCUCUGCAGCCAGGGACAGCUCUCCAGGUGUGAGGAGACCUCUCCGCCUUCCUCCUCACACUGAUAUUAGUGCAGUUCCCUCAGGGCUUGCUUUUAUUUGCUGAGGCUUCUUGUAAGGGGUUUACUUUUAAGAGUAUUUAUGAGUUUAGCACAGGCUUCCCCAGUGAAUUUUUCUGUCCAUGCCUUCACUCAUGGUGUCUUCAUUGUCACCUCUGGAACCAGAAAAAUCACAGCUUAAGGAAGUUCAGAAACAGAGAUUCAAAAGGGUCAGGUCACUGGCUCCAGGUCAACUCUACUACUAAACAGAAAAGCAAGGACCAAAAUUCAGAUCUUUGUGACCCUCAAUGCCACUAUGCCAUGCGAUGAUGCCUGCCUCUUUUAGAGGCCAACUAAUAGGCCAACUUGAUUUUCUUGAGGAAUGGCCGAAUGGAAGUUGAAUGGUUGAAGGUGACUGGCAAACAGAGAAACAAGGCACCAAGAACUGGCUAUUUCCAAACGUGGGCAAUCAGCUUCUGAAUGAAUAGUUCAGAAUGAUGCAGCUCUGGAUGUUGGAAAGGACAAUUCCGGCGUUUUACUCUUCUGACCAGUUUCUUCGUUUUCAUAACUCUACUUGAAGAACAUAUGAUGUUUGCCAGUGUCUGACAUUACGGACCUCACAGCUUACUGAAUCUGAAAACAGGAGAUAGAGAUGGAAAGGAAAGCCUCAGGAACUUGUUGCAAUAGGGACUGCCAGGUCCCGUUGCACUAUUGGUGGAAGAGAGGUCCACACGGUGCCUACGAUAAGCGAUUUGUUCGUAUCUAUCCAGACUGCAGGUGCAUACAGCCACUCAUCCUCAAAUGCCAUCCUCAGGAGUUUAUGCUGCACACAGACUGGCACAUGUGCAGGAAGACAUAGUGCAGGGCUACGUGCUACAACAUUGUUGGUGACAGCAACAUAUUGGAAGCAACCUGAAUUUUUGUUAAUAGAGGAUUGGCUACAUAAAUGAUGCUAAUCUAUACAACUGGAGUACUAUGAUGCCAUAAAAAAGAAUGUACAAGGUCUUUACGUUUGGAAAGAUCUCUAAGAUAUAAUGACCUGAACCUCAGGAGAUCUGGAGUAUGUGCUGAAUUCUACUGGGAACUGAGCCCUCUGAAUAUUAUUAUUGUUUUGCUAAUACUUUUUGCUGGAAAGUACAUCAAACCAGGAUGUGUUGUACCUCUUGCUUUGCCAGACUAUUUAAAAGCAAAAGUGACCAGAUAUCCAACUUAAGGCUGAUCCAGGUUUUUCAUGAUCUAGCCAGGGGAGACAAACCUUCCAGGAAAGUCUCUAGCGAAGGCCAAGGAUUUUAGAAAGUAUCUGUGAACAAAGAAAUGCAAUGUUAGUGGGCUAAUUUCCAUAAUCAAAUGAAGCUGAUGCAAGUGCUUUGUGAAUUGAUGCCCAUCAACGAGAGACUGGAUAAAGAAAAUGUGGCACAUAUACGCCAUGGAAUACUAUGUAGCCGUAAAAAUGAACAAGUUCAUGUCCUUUACAGGGACAUGGAUGAAGCUGGAAAUCAUCAUCCUCAGCCAAUUAACCCAGGAACAGAAAACCAAACACCACAUGUUCUCACUCAUAAGUGGGAGCUGAACAAUAAGAACACGUGAACACAGGGAGGGAAACAUCACAUAGCAGGGCCUGUUGGUGGGCCGGGGGCAAGGGAAGGGAGAGCAUUAGGACAAAUAUCUAAUGCAUGCGGGGCUUAAAACCUAGAUGACGGGUUGAUAGGUGCAGCAAACCACCAUGGCACACGUAUACCUGUGUAACAAACCUGCACAUUCUGCACAUGUAUCCCAGAACUUAAAAAAAAAAAGAAAUGCUUUGUGAAUUAGUCAGGUUCACUGAUGGGAGCUUUGGUCCUGGCACCUGAGGACUGAGCUGGGGGAACCCACACCCAGGCUGCCCAAACACACAGAGGCAGGAGAGGUCAAGGGGCAUCUCGUGGGUGUGGAGUUUUGGACACGGUAUUGCCAUUGUCAGACAUGUGGCUAAGCCUGCAAGGAUGAGAGAGGAAGGAGGAAACCAGCUCCUCUCAACCCUGCAUCAGCCUGAGUGCUUUCAAUCUCUCUCAACCCUUCUCCUCUCUUUUCUCUUUUCUCCUUCCCUCCUUCCCUGAUGGUUUGCCAGGAAGCACAGAAUAAUGGAGUUCAGUGUUACUCAAGGGGCAGUCACCUGCACAGUCAUUACCGGAAUGACGUGUUUCAUCAGAUGUUUCAAAUCCCGAUUCUUGGGGCCUGCUCUAAACCUGCCUACCAAGGCUCUAGGGGCGAGGCCUGGGGACCUGCAUUGUUUGCAAACACCCACAGGUGAUUCUUACAUGCACGAAGCCAGGGAAGCAUUGAUAGAAAAGGUCUUAGACCAGCAGCCAAAAAACCCAAGUUCAAAUCCAUUUACUACCUGGGUGGUCUUGGGCAAGUUACUUAUUAAUUCCCGGCAUGGGAGUCAAUACUACUUUAUAGGAAUUUUUUAUAAGUUAUAGGAGAUACGCUGUUAUGUUAUAGGAGUUAUUUUUUUCUCUUUGAAGAUUAAAAGAGACAAAACAUAUGACAAGGCUGGCAAACAUUGAGCUCUUGCUACAUAGUAGUACACAGUGCCCUAGAGAGUUAGCAAAGGGACGGUGAGCUCACAAAAAUCUUUGUAGGCCUCAGGAUAUAUAUAUUUUGCAGUGACUUUCAAGGCUGAUCUAACUCUCUUUGGAUGAACACAGAGCAAGGAGACUUGCCCACUGAGUGACUUUACUAUACCCCCAGGCCUUACUAACUUGCCCAGGAGUGGGGAAUAUAGUGCUAGAAGGAAGCCAAAGCAAUAAAGAGACACUUUCAGAAAAGCAGGCACUGCAAAGACAACCAUUCCAGCUGGAAGAGCAUGUGGUGGGAGUGGCGUCCUCUCAGACAUGAUCCUCUGCAGGGCUCAUGGGCUCAAAGUCACAGGUUCUCACCAAGGGUGAUGAUUUCCCACAGGGAGCAUCUAGCAACGUCUGGAGACAUUUUUGUCACAGGGUAGGGAAAGGGGGUUGCUACUAGCAUGCAGUGAACAGAGGCCAGAGAGGCUGCUAAACAUCCUACGGUACACUGGACAGUCUUCCACAACAGAAAACUGUCUGGCCCCAAAUGUUCAUGGUUUCAAGGCUGAAAAACACUGCUCUAAGCUAAUGCAGAAGACUUAGUCAUGGGUGAUAGAAGGAGGCCCCUAGGUGGCUACAAACCUCUGAGGGACAGCCUUCCGCUGUGGUGUUGCAAAGUCUCCCAGUUGCACAAGGUCCUGGCGUCCUGCUCAUUGGUGGAUCACCAUUAACCACCUUGCACGUCACAUGUUCAACAUAGCUAGUUUCCCACCCAUUCUUAACGAUGAUAAAUCAGGAAAAGCAUUCUUAGAACACUAGAAAAGCAGAAGUGUGGCUCUCUACAGGGCAGCGGGGAGGUUGCCUCACUCCUAGAAGAUGUCUUGUUUUUACCAAGAGGGUAGAGGGAUGAGAGGAGCUGGAAGACCACGCUGAGGAGCCACGUCCAGACACAUGAAACGAACCUCACAGCCCCACAAGGAUGCCGGGGAGGGCACUCAGUGCUUGGGAUCAGAGCCACGUGGCCACUGGUUUCCGAUGCCCCUUUGCUAGUAUCUGGCUUCCGUGAUUCCCUUGCCUUCAUUUUGUGGCUCUCUCCUGACACUGCCGGCUGAGUGUCUUAGUUAACCAGUAAUCUGGCUUUUCUCCCUCCACUUUGAUCUUCCUGUCUCUGCCUGUCUCCUCUUUCCUGGCAUGGCAUGUGCUCUCGGGCUGUACCUCUGGUAGUGAAUCUCUGGCUGCCCUGGACUCCUGCUGUGCACACUGCCCUGUGUGCAGGUCUGGAUGCCUGGUGUUCCUUCUCAGUGCACCGCCCGAUCCCCUGGGAUCUCUUCACCAUUUUCAUGCAUGGUGCCACCCCACGUGCAGGGCCAGCUUCAUGGCACGUCACCUGUGUGCUUGCAUAGGACUUGGUGCUCAGAAGGACUUCUUGAUGGGUUUCAUGCUCUGCGGCCACCGUAUUAAAAUUGUAAUAAUUUCCUCUUGAAACUUGUAUUUUGUAAGUGACUUCUGAUGAGACAGCAUGGAAUGAGCAGAAACACAGGAGAUACGUGUGCCUGUCCUUUCUUGUCACCCUAUUCACAUGGAGCAUUCGCCAUGAACUCAGAAUUCUGGUGUAUUCACAAUGUGUGGGAGUUCAUGAAGCUUCUAAGUGACUCCCAAGUGUGUUUUGUCUAUGAUGAGUUAGCUGGGGAGGGGGAGGGACACUGACAGCCCUGAGAGGCCACACUUUCCAUUUGAAAACCAAAACUUGCUUCAAACACAAAGGCAGCAGUGGUAUUCUAAGAAACACAUAUGACCAAGGAAACUUGGUUUGACCUUUCUUACUCAUGUUACUUCUUUGCAUUUGCAAACAACUUAAACUGAAAAUGAAGACACAGAAAGAAAUAGAAAGAUAAGGCAACCCAUAGGCCUUUUUUAAAUUCUUCCUUACUUGUCAGUAAGCCAAAGGUAGAGAGCAUUGAUAGAACGUGCAUGUAUCAGGCCGGGCACGGUGGAUUACGCCUGUAAUCCCAGCACUUUGGGAGGCCGAGGUGGUGGAUCACCUGAGGUCAGGAGUUUGAGACUAGCCUGGCCAACAUGGCAAAACCCUGUCUCUACUAAAAAUACAAAAAUUAGCAGGGUGUGGUGCCGGGUGCCUGUAAUCCCAGCUACUCGGGAGGCUGAAGCAUGAGAAUCAUUUGAACCCAGGAGGCAGAGGUUGCAGUGAACUGAGAUCAUGCCACUGCACUCCAGCCUGGGUGACAGAGAGGGACUCUGUCUCAAAAAAAAAAAAAAAGAAUGUGCAUUAUUGAGAAGCGAAAUAAAAGCAUUGAAUUAGUUUUGUGCAGCAUUUUCCACUGUUCUGGUAAGAAUGAAAUAUGCAAAUUGCAUCAUUUGGAACAAUUUAGCAUACAAAUUAAAUGCUCUUAUAUUUUCGUUUAAAGCUGGCUUUGCACAAUAUAAAGAUGAAUGGUAAGAUUCAUGCUAACAAUUUAAAAUUUUAAUUUUCCUUUACUUAGAGUGGCAUUAAAUAGCGAAUAAGAAUGAUUUUAAAAGCCUUGUGACAAGUCAAAAGAGAGACUGCAGAAGAAAAAAAGCGGCUUUUAUUUUAGUACCUUUCACAGCAGAGGUUGUUUUUGUUCCUGCUUUUGAAAAAGGGCUCCUACAUUUUCGGUUUGCACUGGCAAACCUUUUAAUGAAACAGUAAAGCAAAGUUCCUUACAUUAAAAAGGAGUCAUUUUUAAUCUCCCAGUCUACAUAGACCCAAUUUUCAUUUUAACAAGUUUC